rnacentral:rRNA from 1 species
AUGCUUUAAAGAAGGGGCUCUGGCGCCACAUUAGUUAGUUGGUAGGGUAAAAGCCUACCAAGACGAUGAUGUGUAGCUCGGACUGAGAGGUUGAACAGCCACAUUGGGACUGAGACACGGCCCAAACUCCUACGGGAGGCAGCAGUAGGGAAUUUUCGGCAAUGGAGGAAACUCUGACCGAGCAACGCCGCGUGAACGAUGAAGUAUUUCGGUAUGUAAAGUUCUUUUAUUGAAGAAGAAAAAGUAGUGGAAAAACUAUAUUGACGUUAUUCAAUGAAUAAGCCCCGGCUAACUAUGUGCCAGCAGCCGCGGUAAGACAUAGGGGGCGAGCGUUAUCCGGAAUUAUUGGGCGUAAAGGGUGCGUAGGCUGUUAGAUAAGUCUAUAAUUUAAUUUCAGUGCUUAACGCUGUCUUGUUAUAGAAACUGUCUUGACUAGAGUGAGAUAGAGGCAAGCGGAAUUCCAUGUGUAGCGGUAAAAUGUGUAAAUAUAUGGAGGAACACCAGAAGCGUAGGCGGCUUGCUGGGUCUUUACUGACGCUGAGGCACGAAAGCGUGGGUAGCAAACAGGAUUAGAUACCCUGGUAGUCCACGCCGUAAACGAUGAGUACUAAGUGUCGGGGUAAAACUCGGUACUGAAGUUAACACAUUAAGUACUCCGCCUGAGUAGUACGUACGCAAGUAUGAAACUUAAAGGAAUUGACGGGACUCCGCACAAGCGGUGGAUCAUGUUGUUUAAUUCGAAGAUACACGAAAAAUCUUACCAGGUCUUGACAUACUCUGCAAAGCUAUAGAAAUAUAGUGGAGGUUAUCAGGGAUACAGGUGGUGCAUGGUUGUCGUCAGUUCGUGUCGUGAGAUGUUAGGUUAAGUCCUAAAACGAGCGCAACCCUUGUCGUUAAUUGCCAGCACGUAAUGGUGGGGACUUUAGCGAGACUGCCAAUUAAACAUUGGAGGAAGGUGAGGAUUACGUCAAAUCAUCAUGCCCCUUAUGAUCUGGGCUACAAACGUGAUACAAUGGCUGUGACAAAGAGUAGCUGAAACGCGAGUUUUUAGCCAAUCUCAAAAAAGCAGUCUCAGUUCGGAUUGAAGUCUGUAACUCGACUUCAUGAAGUGGAAUCGCUAGUAAUCGCGAAU